CCAAUUAACGUAAUAACUGCUUCCAGUGCAGGAGAUGGUGACCCUCUGGCCCAGGGCCGCAGACACUGAGGAUGG